rnacentral:lncRNA from 1 species
AACCAGUUUAUAUUUUGAUUGAUUUUAACAUUCAUAAUAGGCCGGUAUCAGUACACAGAGCUAGGGCUGUAUGGAUUUGAUAGUUGGCUAACUUAUCGAAAAAGCAUCAAACUCUUCUCAUGAAAACCAGUUUAUUUAAUAACAGAACAACCCCAUUAACACAUCAUUUACCACUAAGACUCCAAAAAUUACUCCUCAUCCCCACUACACAUACUGCAUUUUCAUCCCUUUUCAACAAGUAAUCAAUGAAUUUUAUCUACUAGUCUCUAAAUCCAACUCCUUUUCUCUUCACUUUGCCCACCACAAAAGAUUUUCAUCCAUGUUCACGCAACUAUCAAGUGCCAUAUGUUUUACUUUUUCAGGGAAUUCACUCGACAAUCAACUUGAAAGCAGGGGAUUUCUUUAACCCCUCAAGUAUAUAAUCAAUUCAUGUAAACAUAUUAACACCAAUACAUUCACCAAUUAGAAAAUAAAUCCGAAAUU